UACGUAGGGGGCAAGCGUUGUUCGGAAUUACUGGGCGUAAAGGGCGCGUAGGCGGCACGGCAAGUCGGGGGUGAAAUCCCGAGGCUCAACCUCGGAACUGCCUUCGAUACUGGCGAUCUUGAGUCCGGGAGAGGUGAGUGGAACUCCGAGUGUAGAGGUGAAAUUCGUAGAUAUUCGCAAGAACACCAGUGGCGAAGGCGGCUCACUGGUCCGGUACUGACGCUGAGGUGCGAAAGCGUGGGGAGCAAACAGG
rnacentral:rRNA from 1 species